rnacentral:rRNA from 1 species
GCUUGUCUCAAAGAUUAAGCCAUGCAUGUCUAAGUAUAAACAUCUUUAUACUGUGAAACUGCGUACAGCUCAUUAUAUCAGCAAUUAUUUAUUUGAUGGUUAACUUACUACAUGGAUAACCGUGGUAAUUCUAGAGCUAAUACAUGCGUCAAGCCCCAACUAUUAUGGGAGGGGUGUAUUUAUUAGAUAAAAAACCAACCCCCGCAAGGGGUUCUUUGGUGAAUCAUAGUAACUGAUCGGAUCGCAUGACCUUGUGUCGGCGACAGUUCAUUCAAAUUUCUGCCCUAUCAGCUUUCGACGGUAGUGUAGUGGACUACCGUGGCGGUAACGGGUGACGGAGAAUUAGGGUUCGAUUCCGGAGAGGGAGCCUGAGAAACGGCUACCACAUCCAAGGAAGGCAGCAGG